GACGAACGCUGGCGGCGUGCUUAACACAUGCAUGUCGAACGGAAAGGCCCUGCUUUUGUGGGGUGCUCGAGUGGCGAACGGGUGAGUAACACGUGAGUAACCUGCCCUUGACUUUGGGAUAACUUCAGGAAACUGGGGCUAAUACCGGAUAGGAGCUCCUGCUGCAUGGUGGGGGUUGGAAAGUUUCGGCGGGUGGGGAUGGACUCGCGGCUUAUCAGCUUGUUGGUGGGGUAGUGUCUUACCAAAGCUUUGACGGGUAGCCGGCCUGAGAGGGUGACCGGCCACAUUGGGACUGAGAUACGGCCCAGACUCCUACGGGAGGCAGCAGUGGGGAAUAUAGCACAAUGGGAGGAAGCCUGAUGCAGCAACGCCGCGUGCGGGAUAACGGCCUUCGGGUUGUAAACCGCAUUCGCCUGUGACGAAGCGUGAGUGAGGGUAAUGGGUAAAGAAGCACCGGCUAACUACGUG
rnacentral:rRNA from 1 species